UUAGAUUUAAGUAUGGUACCAUUGUACUCGAUACUAGUUGAUGUAUGGCAUCUGGGCUAAAUGAUUCCUUCAUAGAGCGGAGGUAUAUACGAACUAGCAACUCGGAACCUAGUUUGUUGGUUGUUUGUGGGAAACCACUCAGCGUACCAUAUUGAAAACUGUUAGAGACUCGAUGUGUACCAAGUAUAGGAAGUGGAUAGAUAGAGUCUAAGAGAUUACAAGUGUAAGGAUGGGAGAUCGUAAAACAAAACGAUCACAGAAUAGUAAUAAAUCGUAAUAUAUACGAUGAGAUCACUCCGUGAUCUGAUAAGAUUAUGGGAUGAAGAAAGAUC
rnacentral:lncRNA from 1 species